UGGGUCGAUGUUGGGUAUUGGUGGAGGUAUCUGAGUCAAUAACUUUGAUUAAGCGCUCUGUGUAACUUUGAGGUCCAC
ensembl:snoRNA SNORD113-5 small nucleolar RNA, C/D box 113-5